rnacentral:tRNA from 1 species
AGGGGCAUAGUUCAAUGGUAGAAUAUCGGUCUCCAAAACCGCUUAUGUAAGUUCGAUUCCUACUGCCCCUGCCA